rnacentral:rRNA from 1 species
GAUGAACGCUGGCGGCGUGCCUAAUACAUGCAAGUCGAGCGAACGGACGAGAAGCUUGCUUCUCUGAUGUUAGCGGCGGACGGGUGAGUAACACGUGGAUAACCUACCUAUAAGACUGGGAUAACUUCGGGAAACCGGAGCUAAUACCGGAUAAUAUUUUGAACCGCAUGGUUCAAAAGUGAAAGACGGUCUUGCUGUCACUUAUAGAUGGAUCCGCGCUGCAUUAGCUAGUUGGUAAGGUAACGGCUUACCAAGGCAACGAUGCAUAGCCGACCUGAGAGGGUGAGCGGCCACACUGGAACUGAGACACGGUACAGACUCCUACGGGAGGCAGCAGUAGGGAAUCUUCCGCAAUGGGCGAAAGCCUGACGGAGCAACGCCGCGUGAGUGAUGAAGGGCUUCGGAUCGUAAAACGCUGUUAUUAGGGAAGAACAUAUGUGUAAGUAACUGUGCACAUCUUGACAGUACCUAAUCAGAAAGCCACGGCUAACUACGUG